rnacentral:antisense_RNA from 1 species
CGGGCGGUGUACUCCCAGAUGGCGUCGGGGUCGAGCAGCGCGUCCUCGCCGAAAUAGGCCCCGUCGGCGAGCACGCCGAGGACGGCAUCGUCCCCGUAGGGACCGGUGCCGAUCUUCUCGACCCUGCCGUGCGCCAGCAGAUACACCUCGUCGGUCGGGUUGCCGAAGGACGCGAUCACCGACCCCGCGGAGAACUCCCGCUGCUGGCAGCGCUGGGCGAGCUCGGCGAGCACGUCCUCGUCGUCGUACGACCGCAGCGCCGGCAGUUCGGUCAGCUCCGCCGGGAUGACCUCGACGCGAUCACCGGUCUUCACGAACGUGAUGCGGCCGUCGUCCACGGCGUAGGUCAGACGCCGGUUCACGCGGUACGUACCGCCCUGCACGUUCACCCAUGGCAGCGUUCGCAGCAGCCAGCGGGAGCUGAUCUCCUGCAUCUGCGGUGCGGACUUGGUCGUGGUGGCCAGGUUCCGCGCGGCUGCCGUGUCGAGACUCUGCUGCGGCUUGG